AGUGAACGCUGGCGGUAGGCCUAACACAUGCAAGUCGAACGGCAGCACAGGAGAGCUUGCUCUCUGGGUGGCGAGUGGCGGACGGGUGAGGAAUACAUCGGAAUCUACUCUGUCGUGGGGGAUAACGUAGGGAAACUUACGCUAAUACCGCAUAGGACCUACGGGUGAAAGCAGGCGACCUUGGGGCCUUGCGCGAUUGACUGAGCCGAUGUCGGAUUAGCUAGUUGGCGGGGAAAAGGCCCAGCAAGGCGACGAUCCGUAGCUGGUCUGAGAGUAUGAUCAGCCACACUGGAACUGAGACACGGUCCAGACUCCUACGGGAGGGAGCAGUGGGGAAUAUUGAACAAUGGGCGCAAGCCUUAUCCAGCCAUACCGCGUGGGUGAAGAAGGCCUUCGGGUUGUAAAGCCCUUUUGCUGGGAAAGAAAUCCAGCUGGCUAAUACCCGGUUGGGAUGACGGUACCCAAAGAGUACGCACCGGCUAACUUCGUGCCAGCCGCCGCCGUAA
rnacentral:rRNA from 1 species